UGGGGAAUUUUGGACAAUGGGCGAAAGCCUGAUCCAGCAAUGCCGCGUGUGUGAAGAAGGCCUUCGGGUUGUAAAGCACUUUUGUCCGGAAAGAAAUCCUUGGCUCUAAUACAGUCGGGGGAUGACGGUACCGGAAGAAUAAGCACCGGCUAACUACGUGCCAGCAGCCGCGGUAAUACGUAGGGUGCAAGCGUUAAUCGGAAUUACUGGGCGUAAAGCGUGCGCAGGCGGUUUGCUAAGACCGAUGUGAAAUCCCCGGGCUCAACCUGGGAACUGCAUUGGUGACUGGCAGGCUAGAGUAUGGCAGAGGGGGGUAGAAUUCCACGUGUAGCAGUGAAAUGCGUAGAGAUGUGGAGGAAUACCGAUGGCGAAGGCAGCCCCCUGGGCCAAUACUGACGCUCAUGCACGAAAGCGUGGGGAGCAAACAGGAUUUAGAUACCCCUGGUAGUCCACGCCCUAAACGAUGUCAACUAGUUGUUGGGGAUUCAUUUCCUUAGUAACGUAGCUAACGCGUGAAGUUGACCGCCUGGGGGAGUACGGUCGCAAGAUUAAAAC
rnacentral:rRNA from 1 species